UAGUGGCGAACGGGUGAGUAACACGUGAGUAACCUGCCCUUGACUCUGGGAUAAGCCUGGGAAACUGGGUCUAAUACUGGAUAUGCACCGUGAACCGCAUGGUUUUUGGUGGAAAGAUUUAUUGGUCAAGGAUGGACUCGCGGCCUAUCAGCUUGUUGGUGAGGUAAUGGCUCACCAAGGCGACGACGGGUAGCCGGCCUGAGAGGGUGACCGGCCACACUGGGACUGAGACACGGCCCAGACUCCUACGGGAGGCAGCAGUGGGGAAUAUUGCACAAUGGGCGAAAGCCUGAUGCAGCGACGCCGCGUGAGGGAUGACGGCCUUCGGGUUGUAAACCUCUUUCAGUAGGGAAGAAGCGAAAGUGACGGUACCUGCAGAAGAAGCGCCGGCUAACUACGUGCCAGCAGCCGCGGUAAUACGUAGGGCGCAAGCGUUAUCCGGAAUUAUUGGGCGUAAAGAGCUCGUAGGCGGUUUGUCGCGUCUAUCGUGAAAGUCCGAGGCUCAACCUCGGAUCUGCGGUGGGUACCGGCAGACUAGAGUGAUGUAGGGGAGACUGGAAUUCCUGGUGUAGCGGUGAAA
rnacentral:rRNA from 1 species